rnacentral:ncRNA from 1 species
UGAAAUAUCUGUCUCCGAGCCUGGCAACCUAAAUCUCACGACAUGGUUGAAAGGCCAGCGGGCGGGCAACCGCCCCAAGGGUAGCGCCGGAAACGGCACCGCCUCCCGCGGUUUGGAAAGGAGAGAAAGCAAUGACCGG